rnacentral:rRNA from 1 species
AAUAGAUACCCCGGUAGUCCACGCCGUAAACGGUGGGCACUAGGUGUGGGCGACAUUCCACGUCGUCCGUGCCGCAGCUAACGCAUUAAGUGCCCCGCCUGGGGAGUACGGCCGCAAGGCUAAAACUCAAAGGAAUUGACGGGGGCCCGCACAAGCGGCGGAGCAUGUGGCUUAAUUCGACGCAACGCGAAGAACCUUACCAAGGCUUGACAUACACCGGAAACGUCCAGAGAUGGGCGCCCCCGUUGUGGUCGGUGUACAGGUGGUGCAUGGCUGUCGCCAGCUCGUGUCGUGAGAUGUUGGGUUAAGUCCCGCAACGAGCGCAACCCUUGUCCCGUGUUGCCAGCAGGCCCUUGUGGUGCUGGGGACUCACGGGAGACCGCCGGGGUCAACUCGGAGGAAGGUGGGGACGACGUCAAGUCAUCAUGCCCCUUAUGUCUUGGGCUGCACACGUGCUACAAUGGCCGGUACAAUGAGCUGCGAUACCGCGAGGUGGAGCGAAUCUCAAAAAGCCGGUCUCAGUUCGGAUUGGGGUCUGCAACC